GAAUUUCUAACAUCUCAUCAGCUUUCAACCACAUCCAUUUGAAGAGAGAGAUGCCAAGCGCCGUCAGCCUGUUUGUGGGUCAUCAUUUAUGAAAUGGGAAUAGUGACGGUACCUGCCUCAUUGGGUUUGUCAAGAAGUAGAAUUGUAUGUAAAGGUAUGUGAGUAUAAUGUGGACCAGCGCCUGGCAUGUACUAAGGGUGCUGUAAGUAUCUGUUGUCAUAAUCUUGGGAAGAACUUUUAAUUCCUACCCACGAAUGAGUAAUUGAGGCUCAAAAAGUUGACAGAGAGUGUUUGAAUUUUUGGCAGACUGCUAAUUGCCAUCAUGCAUACACGUACGCGUACUCACACACACAUCCACUCUUUAUUAUGAAUAGCCGUUAGUCCUUUGCUCGAACGACAGUGAUAUCACUGUCCGUAUGUCCUCAUUACGCAAAACUCUGAAUACUGGAAAGUUUUCUUUAUACCUGAGGGCUUCAUUAAUGGGUUAAAUAUGUCUUCCUUUUGCCCCCCAAAACACCAGCAGGUGUAAGUUGCUAGGAACCAACUUCAGAAGAACAGGAACUGGGGGAGUUAGUAUUUCCAAGACUAGCUCUUCCUGAUUGUGGUGUGUGGUUUUCAGUAUUCAAAUAUAAAACCAUCUAGAAGAAGUGCUAGAGACAACAGGAAGUGCAGACCCAAAAAUGCAACAUAAAAGCCAGGCAGACCUAAGGAAAUUAUUGAGAGAGGAGGUACUGAACUGAAUGAGGGCCAGAGAAUUUUCAGAGUUAGGGCAAAGAGCAGAGAGCUGUGUGACUUUGCAAAAGUUAUUUAACCUCUUUUAAACCCAGUAAAAUGUAAAUAAAUGAAUUAAAGUGCUUGUAAAAGAGAUAGAAUAUGUCCAACCUAUGCAUUACAAAAACUAUUCUCAUUUUAUUUAUAAUAUUUUUGUUCUUAUAUUCUUUGAUACAGCCUACUUGAACAGUACUCUGCCUACUUCUUGGCAUUCAGUCCCUGCUAGUCUGCCCUUCUCUCCGUAAAUUCCACUUAAUGGUUUUCUUUUCUGUUUUUUGACAAUGUCAAGCUGAUAGUGCUUCAGGGCUUUUGCAUUCAUUCUUCCCUCCAUCCUGAACUCUCUUUCUCCAUAUCUCUCCUAAUCCCACUAAUGAAUGGCAUUAGUGCCCAUAAGAAAGAGUCCUCUGAGAACUCUCUCACUUCCCUUCCAAGUGUAUCCAAGUGAGGAUACAAGAAGUCAGCCAUCUGCAACCUGGAAGGCAGCCCUCAUCAGAAUCCAACCAUGCUGGCACCCUCAUCCUGGACUUUCAGCCAUCCAAGACCAUCCCUGACCAUCUGCUCCAGAUAAGCUCCUCCCCUCCAAGUCCUAUUUGAUCAUAUUUGUUUAUUUCCUUCACUGCACUCCUAGAAAUCUGUAAUUACUUAUUCAGUUAUUUGUUUGGUCAUCACACUCUUUUCCUAGAGAAUUUGAAAUCUAUGAGGACAGAGUCAUUUUACACCUGUCCAAGCUUAUCUAUAAUAAGCAUAAGAAUGGUUAAUAUUUAUUGAGUCCUUAUACACUUGCAUGAUUCUAAGUGGUUUUCAAUAUCACUCCAAUUCUCACCACCACCCAAGGGGUUGUUUUUGUUAUUAUUGUGACUAGCAGGA
rnacentral:lncRNA from 1 species